UACAGAGGGUGCGAGCGUUGUCCGGAAUCACUGGGCGUAAAGGGCGCGUAGGUGGCGACCCAAGUCCAUGGUGAAAGCUCGAUGCUCAACAUCGAGUCGGCCACGGAUACUGGGUUGCUGGAGCACUGUAGAGGCAGAUGGAAUUCCGGGUGUAGCGGUGGAAUGCGUAGAGAUCCGGAAGAACACCAGUUGCGAAGGCGGUCGUCUGGACACAUAUUGACGCUGAGGCUCGAAAGCAUGGGGAGCAAACAGG
rnacentral:rRNA from 1 species